AUGCCAGCAACAACAGCUUUACUGGGCAGCUACCAACUCAUUUGUGCCAGCUCGCCAUCCUUGGCAGUGCUUGAACUCUGCUACAACCAAUUCAGAGGGAGCAUCCCCCCUGAACUUGGUAGCUGCUCCAUGCUCAGAGUGCUCAAGGCUGGCCACAACAACCUCAGUGGGACUCUCCCAGAUGAACUCUUCAAUGCUACCUUGUUAGAAUCCCUCUCCUUCCCCAGGAACAGCUUAGAAGGGAAACUUCAAGGCUCACAUAUUGUCAAACUCAGUAAUCUGGGUACUCUUGAUCUUGGAGACAACAGCAUCAGUGGCGAGAUUCCUGAGUCUAUAGGUCAUCUCAAGAAAUUGGAGGAACUCCAUUUAAACAACAACAACAUGUCUGGGGAGUUGCCACCAAGUCUGACCAACUGCACAAAUCUCAUAACCAUUGACCUCAAGAGCAACAAUUUCAGCGGACAGCUUGCCAAGGUCAAUUUCUCCAAACUACCCAAUCUAAAAACUUUAGAUCUUAUGCACAACAGCUUCAGUGGCAAAAUUCCAGAAAGCAUCUACUCAUGCAGCAAUCUAGUUGCACUGCGUCUGUCUUCCAAUAAGUUCCAUGGCCAGCUGUCAGAAAAACUAGGCAACCUGAAGUCCCUUUCAUUCUUAUCACUUUCUAACAACAGUAUUACAAAUAUCACAAGUGCACUUCAGAUACUUAGGCGUUCCAAGAAUCUCACUACCCUUCUUAUUGGGCUCAACUUCAUGAAUGAGACCAUGCCAGGUGAUGAUGGCAUUGUUGGUUUUGAGAAUCUCCAGGUUCUAGCAAUAACAAGUUGCUCAUUGUUGGGAAAAAUACCCCAUUGGUUAUCAAAGCUAGCAAAGUUGGAGAUGUUAUUUUUACAAGACAAUCAGCUAACAGGGCAGAUACCUGACUGGGUCAGUAGCCUAAAAUUCCUCUUCUACCUAGACAUAUCAAAUAACAGCAUGACAGGGGAAAUCCCAACAGCCUUAACGCAGAUAUCAAUGCUAAGAUCAGAGAAUACUGCAACCCGUUCGGACCCCAGAUUCUUUGAGUUACCAAUUUAUCUAGCCCCGUCACUUCAAUACCGCGUAUCAAUGGCUUUCCCUAAAGUACUGGAUCUAAGUAGCAAUAAAUUUACUGGUGAGAUGCCCUUGGAGAUUGGUCAGUUGAGAGCCCUCCGUUCACUCAAUUUCAGCUUCAAUGACUUGACAGGACAGAUCCCACAAUCAAUAUCCAACCUCACAAGCCUGCAGGUGUUAGACUUGUCGACCAAUAACCUCACAGGUGGAAUCCCAGCUGCAUUGAACAACCUGCAUUUCCUGUCAGCAUUCAACAUUUCUAACAAUGACCUAGAAGGGCCUAUUCCAUCUGGAGGUCAGUUUAAUACGUUUCAGAACUCUAGCUUUGAUGGGAAUCCAAAGCUGUGUGGCUCUAUGCUAAUUCACAAAUGUGGUUCAGCUUCACCACCUCUGAUCCACUCAAAACUACAACAUAAGAAGGCCCUUUUUGCAAUCGCAUUUGGAGUGUUCUUUGGAAGCAUUGCUGUUCUUUUGUUUCUGGGGAGUCUCCUUGUCUCGAUCAGAGUCAAUGGUUUUAUAACCAAAAAUACAAGGGACAAGAACAAUGGAGAUGUCGAAUCAACUUCAUUCAACACCAGUUCAGAGCAAACAUUGGUGGUGAUGUCACGAGGCAAGGGAGAAGAAAGCAAGCUCAAAUUCACUGACAUUUUGAAAGCUACGGCGAACUUUGACAAGGAGAACAUUAUUGGAUGUGGAGGUUAUGGGUUGGUCUAUAAGGCAGAGCUACCUGAUGGCUCCAAGUUGGCAAUCAAAAAGCUCAAUGGUGAAAUGUGCCUGAUGGAAAGGGAGUUUAGAGCAGAGGUUGACGCUCUUUCCAAUGCACAACAUGAAAAUCUUGUACCGCUGUGGGGUUACUGCAUUCAGGGAAACUCAAGGCUCCUCAUAUAUUCCUACAUGGAGAAUGGCAGCCUGGAUGAUUGGCUCCAUAACAGGGAUGGUGAUGCUAGCUCAUUUCUUGACUGGCCGACGCGCCUCAAGAUUGCGCAAGGAGCGAGCCAGGGCCUUUCUUAUAUCCAUGAUGUCUGCAAGCCUCAUAUUGUCCACCGUGACAUCAAAUGCAGUAACAUCUUAUUGGACAAAGAAUUUAAAGCUUAUGUUGCAGAUUUUGGGCUAGCCAGAUUGAUCCUUCCCAACCAAACUCAUGUUACGACUGAGCUGGUCGGUACUAUGGGUUACAUCCCCCCUGAGUAUGGGCAAGCAUGGGUUGCUACGUUGAGAGGUGAUAUGUACAGUUUUGGAGUAGUCCUGCUUGAGCUGCUCACUGGAAUGCGACCUGUUUCAAUCCUAUCAACGUCAAAAGAACUUGUCCCAUGGGUGCUGGAGAUGAGGUCCAAGGGAAAGCAAGUUGAGGUCCUGGAUCCAACACUUCGAGGCACAGGAUAUGAAGAGCAAAUGCUGAAGGUGCUUGAAGCUGCUUCCAAAUGUGUCGACCACAAUCAAUUCAUGAGGCCAAGCAUCAUGGAAGUAGCCUCCUGCCUGACUAGUAUAGAUGCUGGCCCGCAGAUGCAAAGUUCAGCCAAGAUACAAUAG
rnacentral:rRNA from 1 species